rnacentral:rRNA from 1 species
UUAUUUUCUAUGCUUAUAUUUUUAUAAAAAGAAACAACUCACUUUAAUAAGUUAUAGUAAUAUCUUAAUUAAUAUAAAAAGUUUUUAAAGUACCGAAGGGGAACCUCAAAAAAGAUUAAAAGAAAAAUUUACUUUUUGUACCUUUUGUAUCAGGGUUUAUUAAAUUAAAAUUCAUAAGAAUUAAUCUCGAAACUUCAAGAUCUAAUUAAGAUUAAAUUCAUUUUAUUGUUUCAAUAAUAAUUUUUAAAUCUUAAAUAGUUAUAAAACGUAUGCGUUUGAAGAGAUAUCUAGUUUUUUUAGAAAUAAAUUUAAUUUAAUUUAGAUUUGUAAAAUAAAAAUAAAAUUUUUAAUAUAAAUUUAAAUAUAUUUAAUCUGGGAAGAGCUUGAUUAAAAUUUAGGUAAAUUAAAAAAUGAACUUUUAAGGAUUUAAAAUGUCCUAGAACGUAAUAGUUAAAAAGAUAAAAUAAAAAUAUUUCCAAAAUAAGCCUAAUUUCUAUAAAAAAGUCUAUUUAAACUUUAACAAUAAAAUUAAAAUGAUAAAAUAAGUAAAUAAUAAAAAAUAUUUUAAAGAAUUCGGCAACUUAAUUUCCGACUGUUUAACAAAAACAUUUCCUGUAGUAAGAAUUAUAGGUACCUCCUGCUCAAUGAAUAAAAUUUUAAUAGCUGCGAGUAGUCGUACAAAGGUAGCAAAAUAAUUUGUUUUUUAAUUGGAAACCAGAAUGAAAGGAUAAACGAGAAAUAAUCUGUUUCAAAAUAAGAAUUGAAAUUUAUAUUUAAGUCAAAAAGCUUAAAUUUAUUUGAAGGACGAGAAGACCCUAUAGAACUUAAAGAUUUACUUAAAGUUUUGAAUUCUUAAAUUGUUAAAAGACUUUAUGUAAAACUUUUUACUGGGGUAGUAGGAAAGUAAAACUAAUCUUUCUUUCUUUAAACAUUAAUAAAUGAAAAUAUAAGAUCCAUUUUGAAAAAAGAAAAAGUUACCUUAGGGAUAACAGCGUUAUGCUUUUUGAGAGCUCAAAUCGACAAAAGAUAUUACGACCUCGAUGUUGGAUUAAGAUUUAUAAAAGGAGCAGAAGCUUUAAUAAUUUGGUCUGUUCGACCAUUAAAAUCUUACAUGAUCUGAGUUCAGACCGGCGUAAGCCAGGUCGGAUUCUAUCCUCAAAAUAUAUAUUGUUAUAGUACGAAAGGACCUAGCAAU